CCGCUUUUUAUUCUUUAAAAAGUUUUGAUUUAUUUUUAUUACACAUAAUAGAUGUACAUAUUUUCAGGGUACAUGUGAUAAUUGAAUACAUUCAUAUAAUGUGUAAAGAUCAAAUCAGUGUAAUUGGCAUAUCCAUCACCUUAAAUUGUCUUUUCUUUAUGCUAGGAACAUUCUAAUUAUUAUCUUCUAGCUAUUUUGAAAUAUACAAUAAAUUAGUAUUAACCAACUGCAGUUAACCUACGGAGAUCACUUUUCUUCAAAAACAUUUUCUUGACUUUUCUGUGUGUUUUAUCUAUUGUUGUACAUUAAUCUAUUGCAAAAGUUAGUGGCUUAAAGUCACAUGAUUUCUCUGGAUUCUGUGGGUCUGGAAUCCAGGCAGGAUCAGAACCUCUGCUCACUGUGUUCUCAGCUGGGCUGGCUGAUUCACUGCAUUCAGCUGAGUGUUGGGCAGAGCUGGAAGGUUCAGGCAGGCCUUACCCACCUGUCUGGCACCUCAGUGUCCCCCCCUUUGUGUAGCCAGCUUGGACUUCUCACAGCUGGUUACUGGGUAGGCAGGCUUCUUGCAUGGUGACUGGCUUCUAAGAAGUAGGAAACAGAAGGCUUAAAGUCUAGGCUUGGAACAAGUCCAACUUCACCACUGUUACAUUUCACUGUUGAAAGCAAGGUAUGAGGCCAGUCGAAAUACAAGGGAGGAGAAAAAAGGCCCUACCUUUGGUCAUGGGGUGCAGCAUGUACACAAAGAAAGGUAAGGAAUUGAUGGCCGCCGUCUUGGUUGACUGGCUACCACCCAGUGUGUUUCUGCAACAAUAAACCUCGCCAACCAAGGUAUCUUGAGCACAUCUCUAUUCCUUGCAAUUCUACAGUGUCUGUCUAAGCCAUUAGCUCCCUUAGCUGGUCAUCCUUCCUCAUGACCAACACCUAUUCACUGGAGCCCUAAUACAUGCAAACAUUCUGGGGAGGAUCCACCAGCCAGAAAAAGAUCAUGCUCUAGUUAGGGAUAUAUGAAUACAAAGAUUUAAAAAAAUUCUACGAGCUAGCUUUUGAACGACAAAGCCUAAAAGUAGGGAAGGAAGGAACAAAAAAAAAGAUGAGAAUAAAUUGAAAAGAUAUAAAGUGAAAGUUUCCCAAGAGAAAGCUAGGAGGAUAUCUCAUUGUUUAUCUAAUGUGUAUUAGGGAAAGCUCUUUUUGAAUUGCUUUUCAAGAGAAUGAAUUUCUUAAGAGACCGAGAAGGUAGGACUCAUUUCUUUUGAGGCUGAUCAAUACGAGUCUCAUAGAUUCAGUCACUUGCUGAUUCUUGCUUCAGAGUGCCUUCUAAGGCCACCCCUAUUCUUGGUAGUGGGGGAACCCUGCGAGUAAUACAAGUUGUAACAGGUCCAUUCUCACACAUUGUAUUGGAAGUUCCGAAGGAAGGCACUUUUCUUCUGUUAUGGACUUGGCUAAAUCAAUGGAAACUCCAUAUUCUUUGUCUUCAUUCUUCUUUCCUCGCCACUUCCUGCAAUAUCCCAGACACGUGAACCCACAGCCAACAAACAGCCCUGUGCCACCCACCAGGGGGAGAUGAAAACAGCUCUGAUGACACACUCCUCUAGCUCCUUCCCCGUCUUACCCCUGGGCUCACUUGUCACCAGCUAUUACCAGCUGAAAUGCAUGGUGCCUCUCAGCAGAUUGAACCUUUCUUGUCAUCAGAUUUGUUCAACAGAAAGGAUGUUAAUAUUGCUCACCAUUGACCCAUCUGCAAAAGGGGGGACAGAAUAGUAACUGCAUGUCUGGGUGGCUGAAAGGACUGACAGGAGGAAAUCCAUGCAAAGUGGUGAGCAGAAGGCCUGGCACAGAGUAAAGACGGCAGAGAUGUGAAGAAUGGAGAAAGUCUGGUGCUUUUUUACACACAUAAACAUUUGGAUGCAAAUAGAACCAAUGCCCCUCCCUGAAAAGAUGGGUUUGGCCACUUAAAGAGCUUACCUCUGGGGAAAGGAAGAAAGGGUCUGGAGUGAGAUAUGGUCCCUUUCUCGUUGUUUACUCUGUGAUGGCUAUUUCAUGUGUCAACUAAAGUCAUGGGUAGGCUAUGGUGCCCAGCUGUUUGGUCAAACUCUAGUCUAGAUAUUGCUGUGAAU
rnacentral:lncRNA from 1 species